rnacentral:rRNA from 1 species
UACAGAGGGGGCAAGCGUUGUUCGGAUUUACUGGGCGUAAAGGGCGCGUAGGCGGCAAUUCAAGUCAUCUGUGAAAUCGUCCGGGCUUAACUCGGAACGGUCAGAUGAUACUGCUUUGCUAGAGUGCAGGGAAGGGGCAAUCGGAAUUCUUGGUGUAGCGGUGAAAUGCGUAGAUAUCAAGAGGAACACCUGAGGUGAAGACGGGUUGCUGGGCCGACACUGACGCUGAAGCGCGAAAGCCAGGGGAGCAAACGGG